rnacentral:rRNA from 2 species
AGAUUAAGUUAUUAAGGGCGCACGGUGGAUGCCUUGGCACUAGAAGCCGAUGAAGGACGUUACUAACGACGAUAUGCUUUGGGGAGCUGUAAGUAAGCUUUGAUCCAGAGAUUUCCGAAUGGGGAAACCCAGCAUGAGUUAUGUCAUGUUAUCGAUAUGUGAAUACAUAGCAUAUCAGAAGGCACACCCGGAGAACUGAAACAUCUUAGUACCCGGAGGAAGAGAAAGAAAAUUCGAUUCCCUUAGUAGCGGCGAGCGAAACGGGAAGAGCCCAAACCAACAAGCUUGCUUGUUGGGGUUGUAGGACACUCUAUACGGAGUUACAAAGGACGACAUUAGACGAAUCAUCUGGAAAGAUGAAUCAAAGAAGGUAAUAAUCCUGUAGUCGAAAAUGUUGUCUCUCUUGAGUGGAUCCUGAGUACGACGGAGCACGUGAAAUUCCGUCGGAAUCUGGGAGGACCAUCUCCUAAGGCUAAAUACUCUCUAGUGACCGAUAGUGAACCAGUACCGUGAGGGAAAGGUGAAAAGCACCCCGGAAGGGGAGUGAAAUAGAACCUGAAACCGUGUGCUUACAAGUAGUCAGAGCCCGUUAAUGGGUGAUGGCGUGCCUUUUGUAGAAUGAACCGGCGAGUUACGAUUUGAUGCAAGGUUAAGCAGUAAAUGUGGAGCCGUAGCGAAAGCGAGUCUGAAUAGGGCGUUUAGUAUUUGGUCGUAGACCCGAAACCAGGUGAUCUACCCUUGGUCAGGUUGAAGUUCAGGUAACACUGAAUGGAGGACCGAACCGACUUACGUUGAAAAGUGAGCGGAUGAACUGAGGGUAGCGGAGAAAUUCCAAUCGAACCUGGAGAUAGCUGGUUCUCUCCGAAAUAGCUUUAGGGCUAGCCUCAAGUGAUGAUUAUUGGAGGUAGAGCACUGUUUGGACGAGGGGCCCCUCUCGGGUUACCGAAUUCAGACAAACUCCGAAUGCCAAUUAAUUUAACUUGGGAGUCAGAACAUGGGUGAUAAGGUCCGUGUUCGAAAGGGAAACAGCCCAGACCACCAGCUAAGGUCCCAAAAUAUAUGUUAAGUGGAAAAGGAUGUGGCGUUGCCCAGACAACUAGGAUGUUGGCUUAGAAGCAGCCAUCAUUUAAAGAGUGCGUAAUAGCUCACUAGUCGAGUGACACUGCGCCGAAAAUGUACCGGGGCUAAACAUAUUACCGAAGCUGUGGAUUGUCCUUUGGACAAUGGUAGGAGAGCGUUCUAAGGGCGUUGAAGCAUGAUCGUAAGGACAUGUGGAGCGCUUAGAAGUGAGAAUGCCGGUGUGAGUAGCGAAAGACGGGUGAGAAUCCCGUCCACCGAUUGACUAAGGUUUCCAGAGGAAGGCUCGUCCGCUCUGGGUUAGUCGGGUCCUAAGCUGAGGCCGACAGGCGUAGGCGAUGGAUAACAGGUUGAUAUUCCUGUACCACCUAUAAUCGUUUUAAUCGAUGGGGGGACGCAGUAGGAUAGGCGAAGCGUGCGAUUGGAUUGCACGUCUAAGCAGUAAGGCUGAGUAUUAGGCAAAUCCGGUACUCGUUAAGGCUGAGCUGUGAUGGGGAGAAGACAUUGUGUCUUCGAGUCGUUGAUUUCACACUGCCGAGAAAAGCCUCUAGAUAGAAAAUAGGUGCCCGUACCGCAAACCGACACAGGUAGUCAAGAUGAGAAUUCUAAGGUGAGCGAGCGAACUCUCGUUAAGGAACUCGGCAAAAUGACCCCGUAACUUCGGGAGAAGGGGUGCUCUUUAGGGUUAACGCCCAGAAGAGCCGCAGUGAAUAGGCCCAAGCGACUGUUUAUCAAAAACACAGGUCUCUGCUAAACCGUAAGGUGAUGUAUAGGGGCUGACGCCUGCCCGGUGCUGGAAGGUUAAGAGGAGUGGUUAGCUUCUGCGAAGCUACGAAUCGAAGCCCCAGUAAACGGCGGCCGUAACUAUAACGGUCCUAAGGUAGCGAAAUUCCUUGUCGGGUAAGUUCCGACCCG